rnacentral:pre_miRNA from 1 species
AGCUGCAUUGCUGGGCAACUUCUCCUUUGGCAGAUGUACCAGAAGGUGCUGGGGCUUCGUUCCAGGGCUACUGCCAAAGGAAAUUUGCCCCGGAAUUCAUCU